rnacentral:rRNA from 1 species
CCUACGGGAGGCAGCAGUGGGGGAUAUUGCACAAUGGGGGAAACCCUGAUGCAGCGACGCCGCGUGGGCGAAGAAGUAUUUCGGUAUGUAAAGCCCUAUCAGCAGGGAAGAAGAAAUGACGGUACCUGAGUAAGAAGCACCGGCUAAAUACGUGCCAGCAGCCGCGGUAAUACGUAUGGUGCACGCGUUAUCCGGAUUUAUUGGGUGGAAAGGGAGCGCAGGCGGCACGGCAAGCCUGAUGUGAAAGCCCGCGGGCCAACCGCGGGACUGCAUUGGGAACUACCGGGCUGGAGUGCCGGAGAGGUAGGCGGAAUUCCUAGUGUAGCGGUGAAAUGCGUAGAUAUUAGGAGGAACACCAGUGGCGAAGGCGGCCUACUGGACGGUGACUGACGCUGAGGCUCGAAAGCGUGGGGAGCAAACAGGAUUAGAUACCCUUGUAGUC